GCCACGUGACUCACCACAUCCUGCUGACUGGCUGAGCAGACACAUUUCCAAGUGGACACAGAGGGAGCUGUGUCCCGAAAAGCCCGGUGCUGCCUAUCCUUGCAACAAGGACGGAGGUUUGCCUUGAAUUUCCUGAUGGGCUGGAACAAUUUACCUCAUUGGACCCUUGUACACAAGCAUCAGGGACUAAGUGCACAGACCACCACCUUUCAGUCUGACAACCUGUCUCAGUGUUGAAAAACAGUUCAAGAUGAAGAAACUGAGGCACAAUAAGGUUGAGGAAUUUACCCAAAGUCAAUUUACUGAGGGAAGAAAUUUUUCACUGGACAUGACAAUGAGAAAAAUAUCAAACAGAAAAGUAAAGAGAUAGCAAGACUGUAUCUAACUGCCAUUUAUGAAUUCAAGUCACUUGGCUCAAAACAACUACAUCCUCUGGUCCUGAAAAAACUUGAAGAUGUGAUUACUAAGCUACUCUCAGUAAUAUGUGAAAGGUCAUAGAAAACAGGUGAGGUAUCACAAAAUUAAAGAAAAGCAAAUGUCAUAACUAUUAAAAAAAAAAGUGAAACUGUCUCCAAACUAUAGGCCUGUGAGUUUGACUUUAACUCCUGGGGAAAUUCUAGAACAGUUUGUUAAAGGGUAGAUGUACUAAAAAAAAAAAAUGGUGAUUACAAAGAGCCAGGAUGGCCUCACCAGGAAUAGGAUGUGCCAGGCUAACUUAAUUUCUUUUUUUUUUUACAAGAAUAUUGAACUAAUAGAAAGAGGGAUUGCUUUGGAUAAAGUUUAUGUACAUUUUUGCCAAACUUCUGAUAAAGUAUUAAAUUAUGUUCUAGUGGAGAAGAUAG